CAAAAAGCAAAAACCAAAAACUUUUCUACUCUAAAUUAGGUGUCAGCUUAUGUCUCAGAGCUGGGGAAAGUGAGUAAGACAAUAUAUGUCAUGCUACGUGGAGAAAUAAGGAGAAGCAAACAGUAUGAGAAAAGCUGAAUCUUGAAGUUCCUCUGGGAGAACACAAUGAGGAAACACCUCACCACACAUUAGCCUGGGCAAGAAGGAGCACUAAGGCCACCUUCUUCUCAGUGUGCACCUUGAGGCUGACCAGGAAAGAAGCGGAACUCAGGUCAUCUGAGCAAAGCUGUGCAGUACUUGAAGAGUCCCUUCAAUACGCUGGAAUUCUCCACUUACUCUAGCCAUUCCACAGAAAGUUACUCCUUGGAGAGCGAAG
rnacentral:lncRNA from 1 species